GGUGGAGAUUUAUCCUGGCUCAGGACGAACGCUGGCGGCGUGCUUAACACAUGCAAGUCGAGCGGUAAGGCCCUUCGGGGUACACGAGCGGCGAACGGGUGAGUAACACGUGGGUGAUCUGCCCUGUACUUCGGGAUAAGCCUGGGAAACUGGGUCUAAUACCGGAUAUGACCUUCGGAUGCAUGUCUGAAGGUGGAAAGAUUUAUCGGUACAGGAUGGGCCCGCGGCCUAUCAGCUUGUUGGUGGGGUAACGGCCUACCAAGGCGACGACGGGUAGCCGACCUGAGAGGGUGACCGGCCACACUGGGACUGAGACACGGCCCAGACUCCUACGGGAGGCAGCAGUGGGGAAUAUUGCACAAUGGGCGAAAGCCUGAUGCAGCGACGCCGCGUGGGGGAUGACGGCCUUCGGGUUGUAAACCCCUUUCGACAGGGACGAAGCGCAAGUGACGGUACCUGUAGAAGAAGCACCG
rnacentral:rRNA from 1 species